GCUAAUUUGGCAGAUUUAAGUGCUUUAGAUUUAGAAUUUAAUUAUGUAAUUUUACAGUUAGUA
rnacentral:tRNA from 2 species